CUUAUCAACCAUUACGUAACCAACGCAGCAAAAAUAUUGCUCGUGCAAGGGUGGGUAGUAGCGAAGUAGUUGUAGUUCGCUACUGUAGCGAACUACAAUUUUCAAGUAGCCAGUAGUUUUUGACUACUUUUAUAAAACAGUACCUGUAGUUAUAGCGAACUACAUUUUGCCUAAAAGUAGCCAAGAAGUUGGCUACUUUUCAAACAGCGAAUCGCUAUUCGCUACUUUUUAAAAUUGUUAGUAACUUGAUAGAAUAGCAUGAUAUUGAGACACGGUCUGCUUAAAAUCAAUACUCAAUUUGCACGCCUGAACACUGUAGUGCUUUCAAAAAUGUUGCUUUGUGUUUACUGUUGUUACUCGUAAAUCGAUUUGUUAUAGGUUACAUUCCAGCCUGAGUUAAUAGAUGCUCCAAAUACAGUAAAACUAAAAAUAUAGAGUAGCGAAAUAGUUCGCUACAUUUUUUAAGCAGUAGCUGUAGUCAGUAGCGAACUACCUUUCUUUAAAAGUAGCAGUAGUUGUAGCUGACUACAUAUUUUUGAAGUAGCUGUAGUUACAGCGAACUACAAAAAAUUUGUAGUCAACCCACCCUUGUGCUCGUGUAUCAGAAGCUUUACUCAGAAUGCUAUACUGAACAUAAGGAAAAUUAGCAUUACUGGCCUGACUUUCGAAAAUUAAAUAGAAAUAUUUGAAUUAGAUUAUUCUUAAAAUUCCAAGAUUAUACAACGGUAUAAAAUUAUUUAUAUUUGCAACCCUGUUUUGGACAUUUUAGAAAAAAAAUAAAUAGAAAUAAAUUCCAAAUCUUACUAAAUGGCAAAAAUGUGCAACUAUAGGGCCUACAUGAAAAGCAUUCAUAAACACGCAGAGAUAAAGUACAAGACAGUUUAAUAACGAUACCUUUUUUACUACUCCCGGUCCCCUUUCCUCAUGCACAUAUAAACUUGAAGACGUUAUUAUACUCUAAGGUUAAUGAAGUACUUCAUCCUCAUAUUCAAAAUGGCUAAUGAUUUACAGUAAAUCAGAAAUUCUGGAUUUAAUCACAAGCAGUGGUGUAAUUUUACUUUUUUGACCACUUGCCUUCAGGGCAAGUUGGACAUGAAAGUUAGUUGCCCAGAAUAAAAUUCCUUCCCCAUCAGACAAUGGCCACUCGGGUAUAAAUUAAGCUGACAACAUGUCGACCUGUUCUCCCACUGCUCUUAUGGCUACUGUAUGUUAUGUACUGCCUCAGAUCUAGCUUUGGCUCUCAAAAAAACAAAAUUUGAAUCAAGUACAUGCCAGUGAACUGUAAUAACACUGGAACGCUAACUGCAGGUAAACAUGCCCAUACUUGCCCGAAGCCAAGAUGGCGCUUCUCGCAAGCUCAGCGAGCAAUAAAUCAACUUUCAAAAGGACUGGGGAGAGUUUCGAGGAGCGGGAAAUUCAGUCAAAAGGUUGUUUUUGAGCGAAAAUCAGCAAGAAAAAGCACUUUUUUAUCGAAAGUCUUCAACUUAAAAGAUUCAAACCUGGUUUCCUGGAUAGUUCUAAGUAUUUUACAUCCACUAACAGCAAAAACGUCCUGGGUAACAGCUUGAUAUUCAAAAAAUUACAGAAGGUUGAACGUGCCGAAAAAAACUUCGCACUUUGACUCCUGAAAAAAGAACUUUAAAACUGCUCUAUGUUCUGGAAACAUGUUUUGUAUUAAAUUUCAGGUAUAGUUGAAAGUUUUUAGCUUUUUUCCUUGUGGAAAUACAGCUAUUUAGUGGUCGAAAACAGACAUCUUUUAGGCGGCAUAUUUUCCACUCCAUACCUACAUGGCGGCCAUCAUGAGUGGCUUCAAAGAUGGCGGCCAAGUUAUCGUUCCAGUUCUCUUAGAGUUCACUGGUACAUGCACUAUAAAAAGUGUAUCAGACAAUGAAGACAUUGGUGGAGGGUAAUAAGUUAGGGAUGGGUGCACCCCCCCCCCCUUAGCCCUGGACAGAGGGGGUGCAGGAGGGGGAGCGAACUGUGAACAACUACAAUUCAAAUACAGUGGUCAAGCAAGACUUCGCUGUGACUGACACAACUCAGCACAAGAGCUGGCAGAGCACCCCCCAAUACCAGAUCAUGCUGGAUCCAUCCGGCAUCCCUGUAAUAAGUGUCC
rnacentral:lncRNA from 1 species